rnacentral:rRNA from 1 species
UACGUAGGUCCCGAGCGUUGUCCGGAUUUAUUGGGCGUAAAGCGAGCGCAGGUGGUUUAUUAAGUCUGGUGUAAAAGGCAGUGGCUCAACCAUUGUAUGCAUUGGAAACUGGUAGACUUGAGUGCAGGAGAGGAGAGUGGAAUUCCAUGUGUAGCGGUGAAAUGCGUAGAUAUAUGGAGGAACACCGGUGGCGAAAGCGGCUCUCUGGCCUGAAACUGACACUGAGGCUCGAAAGCGUGGGGAGCAAACAGG